rnacentral:tRNA from 9 species
GUCUCAGUAGCUCAAUUGGAUAGAGCAUCCCCCUCCUAAGGGGAAGGUUGCAGGUUCGAACCCUGCCUGGGACACCA